UCCCUGCUCCUGGCCUGCUCUGUGCAGGUCUGGAAUGAAAGCUGCUGCUCUGGGCUUCUCAGCACUACGCCAGUCACAUGGCCUCCCCAGAAAGUGACACUAGCUCUCCUCCUCCAUGCCACCGACGAGACCAUCAUCCUGCCUUCCCCUGGCCUGGCAGGAAAGAGAAUAACACCCAGAGCAUGAGACUUCUGCAAAACCUUGGGAAGACUGGUCUUUUCUCCACUUUUCUGAAUUCUGUCAGGAAAAUUGCUGUUCAGAACAACACUUUCAAAAGUUUAGGCCAAGACUGCUAGCAGAAUUGUCUUGAAGAGCAUGGUUGAAGAGACAGUUGUAAUCCUCAUUCAUCAGGAAUUACUGGAAAUUCUGUAAGAACAUCAAUAUUCCCCAAAUUUCCUAAUGGAACCUCUUGUUCUUUUGAAGUUUACCCCACAUUACUAAGUAUCAUUAAAAUGUAAUGAAUUGUCACUGAAUGAGACAAACACUUCCUGAAAAUGAGGUUAAAACACAUACUUUAAAUUCCCCACUCUGUUUUUGAAUUAAAACAAAUUGUUAUGAUUUGGAAGAGAGAGAAAGGCCAAAGCAGGUCAUUAAUAACAUAAAUUACAAUAUUUGUCUGAAAGUUAACUGUACUAAUAAUGUGGCCAAGGAUACUGCCAUCUCUUUUCUGUCAGUCAGGUUCUACCAUUAAAAGUGAUUCAUUGUAUCUAUAAAAGAUAAAAGUUCAGACACUUCAAGAUGAAAAUAUAAUCCUCUAUGAAUCUCACUUACCCCAAUCAGCUUUCACAAUUUUGUGCACGUAUGCAUACACACACACACAGACACACAUUUAUUGAUCUGUGAAAUGAAGCUGCUGUGUGUGAACGUGAAUAAAGAAUACGGGACCCACAGUACCAAGCACGCUGUACCCAUUCAAAUAUCAUCCUUUGCUAUGCUGGGGUAUUUUUUGCUUGUAGGCCUGGUCUCACUUUCUUACUUUUUCGUGAUCCUCUAAAGACUUCUGCUCAAAAAGAACCACUCUUUUCUUAAUUGUACUGCUCCAGGACAGAAUGGUAUGCCUAGGGGUCUCUCCCUUUUCAACUAUAAGGACACUGACCGAGGCUGAGCUAUACUGCAUCACUGAGGUAGAGGUCCUUCUGCAAAGUGAGUAUCUUGUGGGCAGGGAAUAAGCCUCCUAACUCUCAUAUUUUACUCUCCCAAAUCUUUAGUAUAGU